rnacentral:rRNA from 1 species
CCUACGGGGGGCUGCAGUGGGGAAUAUUGCACAAUGGGCGCAGGCCUGAUGCAGCCAUGCCGCGUGUGUGAAGAAGGCCUUCGGGUUGUAAAGCACUUUCAGCGGGGAGGAAGGCGGUGAGGUUAAUAACCUCAUCGAUUGACGUUACCCGCAGAAGAAGCACCGGCUAACUCCGUGCCAGCAGCCGCGGUAAUACGGAGGGUGCAAGCGUCAAUCGGAAUUACUGGGCGUAAAGCGCACGCAGGCGGUCUGUCAAGUCGGAUGUGAAAUCCCCGGGCUCAACCUGGGAACUGCAUUCGAAACUGGCAGGCUAGAGUCUUGUAGAGGGGGGUAGAAUUCCAGGUGUAGCGGUGAAAUGCGUAGAGAUCUGGAGGAAUACCGGUGGCGAAGGCGGCCCCCUGGACAAAGACUGACGCUCAGGUGCGAAAGCGUGGGGAGCAAACAGGAUUAGAUACCCGGGUAGUC